GCAACUCUCCCUUCCUGAGAUCAAUGGCCUAAGAUCAAUAGCUAUAAUGCAGAAAAUUAAUCCAUAUUCAUUAGAAUUGAAUUCAGCAAAUGAUAUUAUUAAUAUAAAAAUUCCUUUGGAAGUAUACGGAAAAGAAUUAAAGAGAAAAUUGUUCUAAUGUCACUACUAUCUGCCAAGCCACAGAUUUAAGAAAUUCAGGCAAGGAGAACAGUUUAUUUUCAAAGAAAGCUUGAAAAGUCCUUUAGGGGUAUAGCUACGUUUGCCAUUAAGAUGCAGCAGGUGUGGAGAUGGAACAGAUGCUUUCCUCCCUAUGGAUUUGGAGGUCUAGGAAGUAGAAUUGACUAACCCACUUAUGAGUCACCUCCAGUCCUAGAAUCCUAGGACUGCCAUGCUUCUCCCUAACAUCACGAGGAGUCACAGCUGUGUUUGAGGGAUAUCAACCACAAUCACUAACUCAGAAAACAGCCUGGACUCCUGAAGACCAGUCUGUCUCCUGAACCCCACAUCCCAAACCAUCAUGCACUCACAAACUAAGAAGAGAUGUCACAGGAACCAUUGUUAGAAAUCAAAGGGGCCGGGUGUGGUGGCUCACUCCUGCAAUCCCCACAGUUUGAAAGGCCGAGACAGGUGGAUCACCUGAGGUCAGGAAUUCCAGACCAGCCUGGCCAACAUGGUGAAACCUCGUCUCUACUAAAAAUACAAAAAAUUAGCUGGGCUUGGUGGUGCAUGCCUGUAAUCCAAGCUGCUCGGGAGGCUGAGGCAGGAGAGUCACUUGAACCUGGGAGGCGGAGGUUGCAGUCAGUCAAGAUCCCAUCACCGCACUCCAGCCUGGGCAACAGAGUGAGACUCUGUCUCAAAAAAAGAAAAAACUCAAAGAGAAGGCACAAGCGUGGCCAGAUGAAAGUUCAUGGGAAUGCAAGCAGAGGGCCUGAUUCCAAUUUUUACUUCUUCUGUUACUAGUUGUGGGAAACUGAUAUAAUUCCUUUGAGGC
rnacentral:lncRNA from 1 species